CCUGAAAGAGGAGAAGGCCUCCAGCUCCAAAACCGCGGAUCCAUGUGACUGCAGUUCCCUGCUCCAUCUUCCUCAAGACCCACCUCAUACCUGGGCCUGUCACUCCAGUCCCGCCCCCCAGACUCCCUUCUGAAUCCCUGCCCCUUCCCAAUCAGCGCUGCCCCACACCUAAACACCACCCCAAGCAAGUCUCUUCCAUCCUAAACCAGCCACUUUUUGCCCCGCCCCAGGAUCCGCCCCGUUCCCAGACCCCGCCCUCCCCAGGCACUUGGACAGUUAGGACCCGCCCCAAGACUCAUACCCAACAACCAAGCCAGCAGCGAGUGUGGGUACUGCACCAGAUACUGCAUGUAGCCGCACAGUUGGGUUGGAUGUGUCUGGCCACUGUCUCUCACUUCGUCCCGCCUUCAUCUGGCCCUGACUCUCUCUGCCCCUGGCUGUCCCGCCAGCCUGGAAUUCAGCCCUCACCCAGCCCCAACCCCUGUUGCAAGCUCACGACAAGAAGAAGCUGGCUUUGCUUUUGGAUGUGCUGAGAAUUUGAAGGCAUGCAAAAGCUGGACCGGCCAAACUUUCGAACUGGAAGCCCUGUACGGGAGAAAGCAGCCCUAAGGGAAUCCAUCCACGCGGGUCCAGGCUUAUGAAGCUGCGCCUGGUUUGGAAGAGGCAGGACCCAGCAAGGUUCCGGAAACAAGCAUCGCUCCCACUCACAGAUGAGGAGGAGGGGGCCAAGGCAGACAGUUCUUCCUGGACUCCUUACCUCUUUGUGAACCUGGGUCAUGAUUUCUGAAAAAUCCUUCAUAUUAGGAGGUCCCUGCAGGGGUGAAUAGAGGGAUUCAGAGAAAUUCAGGGUCCGCCAUUGCCUACCCAGAGAUUGGGAAUACAACUCUCAGCUUUGUCCAUUACUUUAGCAAACAGGGACCCGACGAGUCUUGUCAGCCAGAGUUGGGCAGUUGGGCUUCUGGUUCACCCAGGGCUGGAGGAAGGAUGGGCGUGACCUGAGGCAGGGCCCCAUGGGUGUGUGUUAUCUGGCCACCACUGAGUCUCCAGGACCAGGCUGUGAGUUCAAGCCUGCUACACUUGAUCUCUCGAACACUCAUCCCAGCAAAAGGAAAGGCCCUUGAAGCCAAGUGAUCUGCCAGGGGUAGCCUGGGAGAGCCAGACUGGAGAAGGCUGACUGGGGAAGGUGACCUCUGAGGGGAAAUCUGAAGGGAGAUGGAUUGGAGAAGCAGGGUCCUCAGCACUGGUAGCCAGGGGCAGGGUGAGAGGGUUCAAGUGUUUGGAGCCAAGAAGUGUGUGGCUGAGACUGGACCACCAGCCGGGCUGCCAACAGUAUCUUCAGACUGAACUCAGUCCCAGUGAGCCACAGGAGAGUUUUUGCAGGUCUAGGCAAUUUCUUCCACAUACGGUGGUUGGACUGUGUACACGUGUGCACACACAGACAACAUACAGGCUCACCAGCCUACUGGAUUGCUGAGCUGGCAGUUAGGUGACCCUUUCUGCUGAGCCAGCAUGGGCUCCAGCCUGACAGGCUCCAGGGAGGAUGGGCUGGGUUAGGCAGGGUGGGGGUGGGGGACCCUUCUUAACCAUACAAGCUGGCAGGGCCCAGGUUCUCAGCAACCAGGGGGUAGUAACCCCUCUACCCAUUAUAUAGAUAGGAGUACUGAGACCUAGGGAUAGAGAGGCCCGCCUGAAGCACACACCCACCACCUGAAGCAGGGAGUCGCUCACACCUCCUAGGCUUUCCAGCUUCCCAGCCCAGAAAUUCUGCCUCCUGACAAUUCCUGCCUCCCUCUUUUUGGUAGGUCCCUUUGACCCCUAGAGUCACAGUGUUAGUGAGACAGAUAGCCAGCGGGGUCUCCCUCCCUCUUGGAGUCUGAGUCUUGUGGGAUGGACUGGCCAUUCACCUUGGGCGGGUUGUCUUUGGAGACCUGGGAGGCAGCCCACAGCCCAUAUUGGAUCAUUUGUGUUAUUUUGAAAAAUCAUGCAUCUCGAACAGGCCGAUUCUGUUCCGCCUGUCUGGAAAGCCAAGCCACAAGUAGCUGAAGUGACCCACUGAGGCAACCACCCUGUUUACAACCUCCAGGGAAGCAGCGAGUGUGGGUACUGCACCAGAUACUGCAUGUAGCCGCACAGUUGGGUGAGGAGCACCUGCACUUCGUGACGUGUACCCCCCAGUUGUAUAAGUUGUGUAAGUCUGGAACACGGGUUUGAAUCCUGGGCUGCUAAGAAUUUGGGCAAGGGGCAGUCCUAAGGACCCCCUUCUUCCAAACCUGGCCCUGAAUGGAGGAAAAGGACCAUGUGACUCACCCAGGUAAAUGGUCUUUCCCUCAAAGUUGAGGUCCUUCAGCACCAGGAGAAGGGGGCUGACCUCGGGGACUGGCUCCACCCAGCGGCUUAAAGCACAGGCUUUGAUGUCAUACCUGAGGGGUAGGCACACACAGAGACCAUUGGAAGCAAAUCUACCCAGAUGUGACUGUUCCUGUGUGUGUUAAAUCACGAUGGACGACAACUCCAAACCUCAGCACACCCCUAGACAGGGUUUCUCUGUGUAGCUUUGGAACCUGUCCUGGAACUCGCUUUGUAGACCAGGUUGGUCUCGAACUCACAGAGUUCCGUCUGCCUCUGAACUGGGAUUAAAGACAUGCGACACCACCAUCCGGCUAACCCCACGCAUUUUAAAGAGAAGUGUCUCCCUCCUACUGGAACUUGGGAGGAUCUGUUCUCGCUGAGCCUAUUCGGCGGUCUAAAGGCAAAGUUUCGGGGCCUCAGACUGUGCUUUCCCUGUGGAGCCGGAACCCUGUAUCCCUUCCAGAGGGACUCAGCUCUCAGAGAUGCGGCUGACAGGGUAGAAGAUAUUCUCCAUGACGAUGAAGUAUCUCUGGGGACAGGAGGGGGCAGUGAGGGAAGCGCAGGACCUCAGCCUCCAGCAGCCCCCACUACCGAGCCACCUCGCCUCCGCCACACUCACCUUUGCCUGUGGAGCCGGAACCCUGUAUCCGUUCCAGAGGGACUCAGCUCUCAGAUGCGGCUGACAGGGUAGAAGACGCUCUCCAUGACUAUGAAGUAUCUCUGGGGACAGGAGGGGGCAGUGAGGGAAGCGCAGGACCUCACCCUCCAGAUUUAGAGAUCUGCCUGCCCUCUGCCUCCUGAGUGCUGGGAGUAAAGCUUGGGCCACCACUGCCCAGCUAUUGAAUACUUAAUAUUUAAAGAGAUAACAAUAAACUGUAAAUAUAACUAGUUAGAAAACAAGGAUGGGAUUUGGGCCAUAUGCUUUGUUUAUAGUUCCUUGUCUUUGUUUCUCUAUGUGUAGCCCAACUGUCCUGGAACUCUCUCUGUAGACCAAGCUGGUCUCAAACUCUCAGAGAUCCUCCUGUCUCCACCUCCUGAGUGCUGGGAUUAAAGGUGUGUGUUACCACUGCCCGGCUUCUCUUGCAUUUCUAACACUUGUAGCCCAACCCAGAGAACAACAAUUAAAUGAGAAAACAGCUCACAACA